GGCUGUAGCUCAGUGGAUAGAGUAUUGGCCUCCGAAGCCAAGGGUCGUGGGUUCGAUCCCCGCCAGCCG
rnacentral:tRNA from 8 species